rnacentral:antisense_RNA from 1 species
CAAAAAUAGCCCUGGUUCUUUCCUGAGGAGGGAUCGCACUUUCUAGAGGGGCGGUUCUCAAAGUAUGGUCUCAGGACUAGCAGCAUCAAAAAUGCUAGGAACUCAUUAGAAAAGUACUGUUCCACGCACUUGACACCAAUCCCCCCAUUUCACCUGCAUGAUCACCCUGCCUUUGCAUGAGUUGCCGGUGUGGACAGAGCAGGGACACAGUGAGGCAGCGGAUUCCGGCUGUGCUCUUCCCUGGAACACACUGCCUCUCACCAGGAAUCAUCCUUCCAUUUUAUGCAGUUAUCCCAGACAGUGAUGCACGAGCUUUGGGGAAAAAACCCCACAAGUCCAAAGGUGUACUUCAUAAUAAAGGCAAGUUCUCUAGUC